rnacentral:rRNA from 1 species
GCAUGAACAUAACAUAAAAUUAAUGCAUCAGAUCCCAUUAGAACUCCACAGUUAAGCACGCUUAGGCUAGAGUAGUACUGGGAUGGGUAAUCGCCCGGAAAGUCCUAGUGUUUUACAUGCC